GCUGGCGGCGUGCCUAAUACAUGCAAGUCGAGCGAACAAGAGAGGUGCUUGCACCUCUUGCGUUAGCGGCGGAUGGGUGAGUAACACGUGGGCAACCUGCCCUGUAGAUUGGGAUAACUCGCGGAAACGUGGGCUAAUACCAAAUAAUCCAUCGCACCUCCUGGUGCGAUGUUGAAAGACGGUUUCGGCUGUCACUACAGGAUGGGCCCGCGGCGCAUUAGCUAGUUGGUGGGGUAAUGGCCUACCAAGGCGACGAUGCGUAGCCGACCUGAGAGGGUGAUCGGCCACACUGGGACUGAGACACGGCCCAGACUCCUACGGGAGGCAGCAGUAGGGAAUCUUCCACAAUGGACGAAAGUCUGAUGGAGCAACGCCGCGUGAGUGAAGAAGGAUUUCGGUUCGUAAAACUCUGUUGCGAGGGAAGAACAAGUACGAAUUAACUACUCGUACCUUGACGGUACCUCGUUAGAAAGCCACGGCUAACUACGUGCCAGCAGCCGCGGUAAUACGUAGGUGGCAAGCGUUGUCCGGAAUUAUUGGGCGUAAAGCGCGCGCAGGCGGUCCUUUAAGUCUGAUGUGAAAGCCCACGGCUCAACCGUGGAAGGUCAUUGGAAACUGGAGGACUUGAGUAUAAGAGAGGAAAGUGGAAUUCCACGUGUAGCGGUGAAAUGCGUAGAGAUGUGGAGGAACACCAGUGGCGAAGGCGAC
rnacentral:rRNA from 1 species